GAUUAUUAGGAUGAUAAAAAAAAAAGAGUAGAGUAAAAGGCAUAAUAUUAUUAACUUCUGUGACAGAAAACAGUUAUUAGGAACAAACAACGACGACCAGGAAGAGUGGCAGUGCAUGCAAUGUUUUACUGUCACAGUGAAGCACACGAUGGAGUCUAGAUGAACUUGUUGAGGACGAAUUUGGCGAGAUCUAUACCUCCAGUGCUGAUGCCAUCUGAUGAGAGCUUGGAAGCAAAAGACCAAGAGAGCACGUCAUGGGUUUCCCCUGCGCCGGGAAGCAAACUUGUGGUGGCAGAGAACCCAAUGCUCACCCACUCCGGAAGAACGCUCUUCAGGUCCACUCUCUCAGACACGAUGUAGCUCGCUCUCCGAGAAGGAUGAACCAGAGAGGCCACCAAGAGCUUCGUCGAGGCGUCGUACGUGAUCAGAAUCUCCGCGUUUUGCCCGUUCGCCAAACCCCACGACGCCCAUCUGAUAGACUCGAUGGAGUUCACGUCGAUGCCAAUGUGACGGGGUUCCGGGUCCCAAGCAGAGUUCGAGUAGGUGUCGAACUCCACAGCCACAGUCUGGUAGGAGCUGUCGUAGGUGGCGUUGUCGAAAAGACCCAGAAAACCGCCGUUGGAUCUGGGCUGAGACCCGACGGGUACGAGAGCAAAUGCAAGCCCAUCGGCGGCGGUUGAUUUGUUGGGAGCGAAGAUGUUGAAAGUGAAGGAAGUGGCGAAGCUGGCGACACUGCCGCUGGUGCUGUCCCAGAUUUGGAUGGGGGUGGAGUAGAAGGCGCGGCCAAGAGAUGACGGCUGGGGUUUGUUGCCUUUAACUUUGGUUAAUCGUAAGCGGCCGGCGGAUGAGACGGUGGCGUCACCUUCGAGGAUAAGGUUGGGUGAGUCGAAGGAUUGGAUGUUGAAGGAGACUUCGUUGGUUGAGUUUGCCUGGGUGAGAAGCACCAGGAAGAGGGCUACAGAGAGAGAGAGGAUAAUGGAGAAUUUGGAGGAAGCCAUGGCUGUAAGGUCUUACACUGAUGGAUGUUGAGGAUGCAUAAGGAUGAGUCUGUGUUGUCUAUUUAUAGAACAAAAACAGGACUCUCCAGAUUUGCACUAUUCAAAACUUUCAUACAUUGUCUCCUGCUUUCUUAUUAUAUUAGACAUGUGUUUUUUAAAUUUUAUAUUUUAUUGCUUAUUUAUUUUUAUAUGUUAAAAUAUGCAUGGUUUUCUAGUUAAUUUAAAAUGAUAUAUGAUUUUAUUGUUUCAAUUAAAUAUAUGUUAGUCAUUUUUUCAUGUUAUCACCUACGACAACUAUUCAUUGUUAUUAAGUUAUUUUGUCGUUUUACAUCAAAAUAUUAUUUUUUUUAAGAAACAAAAUGAUGAGACAAUAUAAUGAUCACAUCACCCAAUUAAUAAAAAAAAUUAAAUAAUAAUAAAUACGCAAUUAAAAAAUAUAAAUUUUUUUAAUAUUUUAUACAAAAAAUUAAUAGGAAUUCAUUAAAAACUUCUAAACUUAUAAAGAAUGUGAAACUUAGUUAAACAUAAAUUAAAUUAAAUUUAGGUUGCUUUGAUUAAACUAUUUUAGUGAGCGUAUGAAAAUAUAAGUUUGACAAAGUAAAAAUAAGUCUAUAAAAAAAAUAAUUUACUCAAAAUAUAUAAUCUUUACAAUGAUAAAAUGCUACAUACAAUGAGAGUAAAUUUUAUUCAAUGGGAGAAGAACGCACUAGUGUAAAAACGCUAUUUAGUAUCAUUCGUUAGACGUCGGUUAGAGGUAAAUUCGAAGUAUAUUGAUGACCGAUGACAUUUCCGUAAAUAAGUUGCAAUAUAGGCGUUCGUUAGGUCAAUCUUCGACGUCUAUAAAAUUUUAAACGUCGACCCUUUCAACCUAACGUCUAUAUUUCUAACUAUUAAGUGAAAAGUCAUUUCCUUCAGCGUUAUAGACGUCGGUUUGUUGGGGGCCCAGAUGUCGAUGUGGAGGAAAUUAAUGGACAUAUAAACAUCGAGCUCCUGCUAACUCACACCUAUAAGUCUGCAAGGCAGGUGAAUAGUCACUCUUUUCAGCCUUAUAGACGUCGGAUCCCGCCACAUUGACGGGGACUCGAUGUCUAUAUGGCGGAAAUUAAUGCUACUCACCAAUCUGUCAGACAUAUAAAUGUUCGUUGCCUCAAGUACCAACAUCUAUAAUCCUACCAGGCAUGUGAAAAGUCAUUGGUUUCUACCCACGAAACGUCUCAUGCCUCAAAGCUGACGUCUAUAUACAACAUAAAUAUUAAUUUUUAAAUCGAAUGGACGUCAAAUUAGUCAGGCGUCCGACGUAUUUGCCAUUUUAGAUGUCGGUUUUGUUCACAACAGACGUCUAAUUUCUUGUUAAAUAACACUGCGAACCAGCGGUUUGCGAACCAACACAUUGAUCAUCUUUGCGUUUUCUCUCCGUUGCUCUGCAUUUCCAAGUAAGUUUCCUCUCCUUUUAACUAUUCAAAGUUGUUUUUGCUCCGAUUAAAGUAAUAUUUGAUGUAUUAUCUCUCAUUUGAACCGAUUAAAAUGAGUUUUCGUUGUGUUUUGGUGCAGUUUUUUUGUUGUGUCUUUGUGUAGAGUAAUACACCUUCUCCCUUUGCUAGUUUUCUCGUAAGGAAAACUUGCGUUUUAUGGAUUUCUCACGGCAUUUCAAUCCAAGGACGAAUUUGGGUUGUUGGUUAUGUCUAUUCCGACCAUCAACGAAAAAGUUUAUGGUGUAUUCUCAUCGUAUUCUUUUUCAGUUGCGGUCGGAAUGGACCUAAGCAACGAUCCAAGUUUAUCUUUGGGUUGAAAUACCAUGAGAAGUCCAAAAGACUUAACUUUUUCUUACGAAGAAACUAGCAAAGGAAGGAGGUGCUACUACGCUACCCCAAGACACGACAAAAACCACAUCAAAACACAACGAUCACUUCAUAGACAUCGGUUAAUAUACAAACUGACGUCUAUGAUGUCCCAAAGACGUCGAUUAAUGUAAUGUUUGACGGGUUUAUAGACGUCCGAAGUUCUACAGACUGACGUCUAAGGUAAGAUUAGACGUCAGUUAGCGCAUUGUUGGAUGUCUUUAAAAACGUCGGGCUAGUAACUAAAUAGACGUCUAUAUCAACGUCGCCCUUGCAAAAAACCGACAUUCCAUUAACAUUACCCGUAUAGACGUCGGUUCUGGUGGUAACGUUAAAAAUCCAAAAUAACUUACGUCUAAAGUCCUUUCUGCACUAGUAACAUGAAUGGAUGGAUUGAUCAAUAAAUGAUUCCACAAUGUCUUAUAUCUCACAAAGGUCAAUUACUACCCUCUCAUUCAUCAACUUCAUUGAAAUCCAUCAUGACACAUUUUAUCAAAGGAAUCAAAAUUUAAAAACAUCAAUUUAAACCAAAAUCACAUCAAUUUAAAAGCAAAAAAAAAAAUACAUCCGACUAAUUUAAAUUCUCUAAAUGUAGUCAAACUUAACAUUCAACAUCAAUUAUUAAUCCACAUACUAAAAUUACACUUGAAACAAAAACAAAAAAUAGUCCUUCACGAAUGCUUUAUCAACUUAAAACUAAAUCAAUAACAGCCAUCUUAGUUAUCUAACCUAGGAUUUACCAUGAUAUAUAUUUCACUCUUCAAGCUAAACACUAUGAAGAAAUAGAAGAAUGAAUAAUGUUUUAACUUAUUUUUGGAAAAUCUAAUUCAAAAUACUAAACACAAACAUAAAGCAGUAGAGAUUAUUUGAUUAUACAUGCAAUAAAAAAAUUUAAUCUGUUAUUUGUAACAAUCCUAACAAUGCUUUGAGAAUUUUCGUUGAUUGAAAUGAGACGUAUUUUAAAAAAUACUAAUAAUAUUUAUAGAAUCAAUAGACAAUUAACUUAUACUUUUAUUAAAAUAAUACUUACCUAAAACAUAUAAUAACGAUAUAAAUGACAAUAACAAAACGCUAGAUAAUAACAUAAUACCAAAUUAUCAAUAUAGUUAUUAUAUAUAUUGAUAUAGUCCAAAUAGAUGUAUAUUUGUAAAAACAAAAAACAUAUUUAAUAAAUUUUAUUGAGUGGUGCUUUUUAAUACGUUCCUUGAGUAGGAUAAAAAUACCAUGCUAUAUCACAAAAAAACAAAAAAUUUGUGAUCUGAAAAACAAAAGUACUCAAAGGUUUAAAUUGAUUUUAACUUUAUUACCUUCUAACACUAAAAAAAAAUCAUUAUAUUAUAUUAUAUUAUAUAUAUAUAUAUAUAUAUAUAUUAUAAAAUAAAUAUGUGUAUAUAUAAUCCUAUAACUUAAGAUAUUUAAAAUAUUUAUUUUAAAUCCUUUCAACAAUUCUCAAUAGUGAAAAGUUAUUCUUUUCAUAAUUUUAUUUUAAAAAAUAAUAAUAAAUAUAAUAAACUCUAAUAGAUCGAUCUGCAUUGUUGACAUAGGAAUCCUCCAAAAAUGUUAUUAUGACAAAAUUGGUUCUCUUUUUCUUACCUAUUUUUCCUUUUCUCUUGCGAUUUAAUUAGGUCAAAUUUUCUUCACAUAAAUAGAUAUGUAGUGCAGUUUACUUUAAAUGGUAAACUUAUUUUAAUAAUCUUAUUUAUUAAACUUAUCUCACUUUUGAUUCCUGUCAUUUCUCGAAUGCGUUAUUUCAGUCCUUAUGAAAAUUAUAAUCUCAGAGAUUUGAAGUUCCAAUUCUUUAAAAUUAAAUAAUUUUAAUCAAAUAUUAGUAUCUUACAUAGUUGUUUACAGAAAAUUUUGCAACCUUUUAAAUAAUAAUAAUAUUAAUUAUUGAAUUCAUAAAAUAUUAAUAGUAAAAAUAUGCUAACCUUUUUUAAGAACUGAGUUAUAUAUUAGCAGUCGAUUAAAAUUAUUUAAUUAAAAAAAACCAAAAUUAAAUUUAAGUAAUUUCUCUCCUUUUAUUAAAACUUUUUCCAAAAGUGGUAGCAUAGGGGAGUUCUUAUAAUUGUAAUUUUCAAGGCACCUUUUAAAAAUAUUAUGAUUAACAAUUCUUUUGUUAAUAAUUUUUCUUACAAUAAAAUAUGUGUUAUUAUUUUAUUUAUUUAAAUAUUUCAAACGAAUGAAUCACGAUUAUAUAAAUAAUCGUAAAAAAUUUGUCAAUGUUAAAAAAAUAAAUUUGUUUAAGAAACUGAAAUAAAUUUUGAAGGAAAAAAUUGUUUAAUAAAGAGAGUGACACGUAAGUUUUCAUGGAUAAUACAAAUAUAUUAAAAGUAGACGGUACGUCGCAUCUCUUUUUAUAAAGCUGUGGAGCUGGUAGCCACGUUCAACACGAGGGGUCAUGAUUUUUUUAUCUAAUAAAUUUCGAAUAAGAUAAUGUGCAUUUUUUUUAAAGUUGUAUGCUUCUCUUGAUUUUUUAAUAUUUAUUUAUGAAAAAUAUUUUCGAAACAAUACCACCAAUUGCAAUCACUCAAAAUUUUAAACACUGUUAUAAUUAUUAUCUGUAAAUGAUGAUAAUUUUAGUUCUAGUAGGUAUAAGUUGGAGAGGAUUUUUAAUUUUUAAAAUAACAAACAAUCUUAUUCAACCUCUAAAUACAUAAAAGCUUAAGAUCAUUAAAUUAAAUUAUGAAAUUAUUUUUAAAUAUUAUAUAUAUGGUUAAGAAAUAAACUUUAAAUGUAACUCAAUAUCAAAAAAUUGAUUUGUAAUAUAGAGUUUAUAUCCAUUUAUAUAUUUGAUAGAAAUUAAUUUUAUGGGUUAAAUUAGAUUUAAAAUUUAUUUUUUAAUAUGACAUUAAAGUCAUAAAUUAAAACGAGAUUUAUAUUUAUUAGAAAUAUCAUUUUACUUGUUGUUGAGUCGUUAUCAAAUCAUUUAUUAAUAUAUAAUCUCAUAUAUAAAACAUAUAUAUAUACAUCAGUAUAACGAUACGUGUGUGUUGAAAAGUUUCAAAUCAAUUAAAAAUAACAUCAAUUUAUAAUAUAAAUAUAUGGAUGUAAACUACAUUUUACAACUUUGUUUUAUAAAAUUAAAUUAGACUUAAACUCAAAUUUAUUAUUAUAUAUAUUUUCUUAUUUAAUAGUUUUAUAAGAUAAAAUUAAACUUAAACUUAAAAAGUCUACUUUUGUAAGAAUAUUUAAAUAACACGAUAGUUAUUUUACUCUAAUUUUUAUAUUUGUAAAUCAAAGGCACGAUGAAUUUUAAGCUACACAUGCUUACACGCACAUAAUUUUUUUAUGUGGAGAUCCUUGGUGGUUUCAUUUUCAAUUGCUGAAGAUACGGAUGGAUUUGAUGUUUGCUUGCAUGAAAAGUAGUGGAGGUUAGCUGGCCACGAGAAACACGUGAUAUUUACGAAUUUUCGUUUUUAACCGAUAAUUAUGAAAUAAAUUAUUUUAAUAAAUAAUUAUUAUGAUUAAUAUAAUUAUCAUUAAUUUUUAUUAAAGUAACUAGGCUUGUUUGAAGGAUUAAAGCUUGAUCUGAUACACGUCAUCAUGUUUCUAUGUCGUCUGACUAUAUGUCCUAUAAAAUCACAGUGCAAUUAUGUGUUUUUUCUCUUCAACUCGUCGUUUACAAUAUUAUCUUCAUUUACAUCUUUAAACAUUGGAAUGAUUCAUUGCUCAUUGUGGACAUAAUUUUUAACUUUUUAUGGUAACUUCAUUUUUUUAAUAUAUAUUUCAUCUUUAUUGAAUUAAAUAGUUAUUAAAUAGCUAUUUUUGCAAAACUAAAAACACAGGAAAUAUAAUUGUGUUAAAAACUUAAUGAUAUAAUUUAAUGAUAAAUAACAAAAAAUAAAAUUAUAAUUUUAUAAAUUUAAAACCAAGUUCUAAGUAAAUUAAGUAUAUAUUAAUAAUAAAUUAAAUAUGUUUUUAAGUUUUCAAACCAUUUAUACUGUAUGGUUUUAUUUUUAAAUUAAACUAUAUAUUUAUCUGUCAUAUAAAAAUAGGGUUAAAUAUAUUUUUACUCCUUAUAUUUUGGGGUGAUUUUGGUUUUAGUUCUUCUUUCAAACUAAGGUAUAAUUUAGUUCUUCAACUUUAGGAAACUCUGGUUUUAGUCAUUUUUACCAAAUUUUUUUAACUUUAUUUGCUGUUUCAAGCACAUUUCAUUAUAGCAUUUGGAUUAUUUGUUUCAAUGUUAACUGAGAAACGCGUUUGAGACAGCAAAUAAAGUUAAAAAAUUUUGGUAAAUAUGACUAAAAUCAGAGUUUUCUAAAGUUGAAGGACUAAAACUAAAAUCGUCCCAAAGUAUAGAGACUAAAAACACAUUUAAUCCUAUAAAAUAUUAUACAUAUUAUUUGUUAAAAACAUACAUUAAAUUAUUUUCACAAAAUGAAAAGGUAAUUUAAUUUAAUGAAAAAUGGAAAGUUUAAUUUAAAAAAGAAAGUAUAUAUUUAAAAUCCUUCAUUAAUUUAAAAGAAAAAAAAAGAAAAUCUAUAUUUCAUUAAUAUUUUUUUACCUCAAAUAUAUUAAUAAUUUUAGUCUCUCUCUAUAUAUAGAGAUAAUGGAUUUCUGUAGACAUAGCAAAAUGUGGUCUACAUUCAUUAUUGUUGGGAUGGGGAGAUGCAGUUAAUAGUAGCAGUGGGUACAACACCUCAUUCAUUGUGUUCAGGCUCUCUUCAUGAUUUUUCUUAGGGUAGUUGAAUAAUUUUUAAUGAACUUUAACAAUUUUUUUAAUAAUUUUUAUAAUAAAUUAUGUGUUAUUAUUUUAUUGAUUUGUAUAUUUAAAAUAAAUCAAUCACCAAUUACAUAAUCGAUAAAAGAGUUGUAAAAAAAGUUGUUAAAAAUAAUUUUUUUAAUGAAUUUGAAAUUUUAUUGUUUUCAAAACUUUUAAAAUCAUUUUAUAGUAUUCAGUGGUUUUAGUUUUAAAACAAUAGUUAUUUUCUUUUUUAUUUUUCGCUUCAGAUAAACUGUUCUUUUAUCAUAUUAAAAUUAGGUUAAAAGAAUGAGUUGAAUGGUUGUGUCAAUGUUUUGAAAAUAUGUUUUUUUUUCCAAUAAUUUUCAUUAAACUUAAUUUUAGUUACUAUACUUUUAAGUUGAUGAAUUAGCCCUCAGGCUAAAAAGAAUGCGAUUUAAUAUUUCAUUUAACUAUGCAACAGUAAAACCAUCUAUUAAGUCUAAAUAUUUAAAAAAAAAUUAAAAUCACUUUUUGUUCUUAAAAUUGCAGGUCUAAUUAAUCAAUUUGAAAAUAUUUUUUUUAUAUGUGUAAAAGUUGAACAUGUACAAGAAAAUUUAUUUACAUGUUUUGCUCAAAUAAUUAAACUAACGGCCUUAACAUAGUGAAUUAUUGUGGUAAGGAUAAUCACAAUCAUAGUAAUAGUACAUAGAAAUGGAAUAAUAAUAAUAAUAAUAAUAAUAAUAAUAAUGUUAUAUGAAUAACGUAUAAUAGUGACCACAAAUAAAAUAAAAUGUUACCAAAAAAGUUAAAAGAAAAAAGUUUUUUAAACUAAAAAACAAAAUUUCAAAUAUAUGUUUUCUUUUAAAAAUGAAUAAAAAAAUGUUUCAAAAUUGAUUAAAAAUCAUUCCCACAUAGUCUUCAACAAAUAAAAAAGUUAUAUUAAGAAGAAAAUUCACAAAUUCCCAGCAAAAGCAAAAAUGUCCAUUUACGAUCAUUUUCUUCUCCCUUUCAGAUCAAAUAGUUUCAUAUAUAUAUAUAUAUAUAUAUAUAUAUAUAUAUAUAUAUAUAUAUAUAUAUAUAUAUAUAUAUAUAUUAUUUUUUUCUCUUUUCACUGAUCUUGUUUUCUUCUUAGUCUUCUUCCUUUUGUUUUUUCCCUAAAGAAUCAUAGGUGACGUGUGUAUAUGUAAUAAGAUAUGGUCUAGGUACAUUUAUGAUGAGACCUUUCUUUUCUGAAAGAGUUAGCGCAAUUUCUUAUGAUUUAUUUUAACAUGUCACAUUUCACGAGUAGGUUAAAUAUGUUUUUAGUCUUUAUAUUUUGGGGCGAUUUUGAUUUUAGUCAUUCUUUUAAAUUAAGGUACAAUUUAGUUCUUCAACUUUAGAAAACUCUGGUUUUAGUUCUUUUUAUCAAAUGUUUUUAACUUUAUUUGCUGUUUCAAGCACGUUUCAUUAUAGCAUUUGGAUUGUUUACAUUGUUUGACACAUUUUUGCUUCAUUGUUAACUGAGAAACGCGUUUGAAACAGCAAAUAAAAUUAAAAAAAAAUUGGUAAAAAAGACUAAAACCAGAGUUUUUUAAAGUUGAAAGACUAAAUUGUACCUUAGUUUAGAAGAGGGACUAAAAUCAAAAUCGUCCCAAAAUAUAGGGACUGAACACAUAUUUAACUCCUAAUUUAUUUGUUAUAAUGCCUUACUCAAAGACUACAAAAUACUAACAAUUAUACACGUAGAUUGUAUAAGCAUUAAUAUUACUUGUCUAGAAACUAAAAGAAUUACAAAUAAAAGAAAAUUAAUUUGUAAUGUGACGAAUAAUGCUAACUAAAUCGAUGGACAAAGAUCAACAAUUAGACUUGAGAAACGAUGGAUUUUGUAAAAAUUAAAAAAAAAAUAUUUUAGAAGUGAUAUUGAUUUAAAAAUAGUAAGACUCUAUAGUUUUAAUAUUAAAAAGUUUUAAUAUAAAUAUUUUUGUGUUUAAGAAGUUUCAUAUUUUAAAACAUAUUAUCUUUCCAGAAACUACUUUUCUAGAGAUUUCUACUUUUUCUUAAGAGUUCUUUGUCUCUACUUAGUUGAUUGAAGAAUCGAGAUAUCCUUAGGGUAAAUUCUUCAAUAUGGAUCGAUCAAUUUUUCUAUUCGUAUAAGUUGAGUUUCAGUAUUUUUUUUCGUAUUUUUCUAUUAUAUGUUGCAUGUUAAUCUUCUUCCACUUGCAUGCAUAUUUUUAGUCAUUUAUAUAAGUCUCUAUUGAUAAGUGAUCAUAACGGUAUGUUCUGAUCUUUCUUGUGAUGUUUUUAUGUAUAGAUAAAGCAUCUGACAAGUUGGGAGGAGUUUCGUUAGUCACGAUCUUGUGAACUGGAUGCUUAGGUAAGGGAAGUUAGUCUUGACUUACUUUGUAAAGUUCUUGCUACAUUGAUGAAUGCAUGUUGAUGGUUGAUUUUUAUGUUGAGAAAGAACUUUAGUUACCUUUAAUGAAUUUGAUUUGUGUGACUAUGGUUGUUUUGACUUUCAUGGUUUAAAUGAUUGGUCCUUGUUUAUUGUUUGUUUUUUGAGUUUGUGUGAUUGAGAGAAUUAUAAUCUGAGCAAUUGAUCAAAGUGGUGCGAUUUUUUUCAUGUUUAAAAUUGUUUUGAACCAAUGCAUUAAGAAAAAGAUACCAAUUUGAGUAAUUGAUCAUGUCAAAGUUCAUUUAAAAUCACAAAAUGUGCUUAUUGUCAACUGAUACGGUGUCAAGCGGUAAUAGAGUAGUGUUCAACACCAGCUUGCGCUAUAGGUCGAAACAUUUUAACUUUUGGGGACGCUAAGUGACAGACUGUACCGAUGAGCACCACAUUUUGCGAAUACUUUGGCAUUAAGUGGAAGCAAGGUGCCAAAGCGCCAUAUUUGUACUACUGGUCUAGAGCAUGUUAGGUUUAAAACGCUGAGUGCUAAAAAGCGUCACCAAGUGCAACUUUUUUGUGAGAGGGAAUGACGUUGAGCUCCAAUAUUGACAUUGAAUCACUAGUGCAGAAAGGGCUUUAGACGUUUGUUAUUUUGGGAUUUUAAUGUCACUUCCACAACUGACAUCUAUACGGGUGACAUUGGGACGUCGAUAAUGCAAAUAAAUGACGUUUAUUUAGACGUCAAUUCUUGCCUUCCCCGACGUUUAAGGCCACUAUAUAGACGUCAGACUAGGCCUUAACCGACGUCUAAUGACACUAUAUAGACGUCUGCCUAUGCCUUAGCUGACUUCUACUAGAACAUAUAAAGGUGGAACAUGUCAAUAAAUGACGUAUAUGGUCAUUAUAGACGUCCGACAUUUCACUAAUCGACGUCUAAUAUAGCGGUUGUGUUUUAGUGCAAUUUUGAUCCUGUCUUUCGAUAGCCUAGUACCACACUCUCCCUUCGCUAGCUUCCCCACCAAAAAAGCUUGCGUCUUUUGCAUCUCUUAUGACAUUUCAACCCAAAACAGAUCUGGGUCCAUGCUUAGUUUCCAUUCAACCGCAAAAGGAAAAAAUUACGGUGACACGAACUAGACAAGGACCCAAGUUCCAUUUUGAGUCGAAACGCCAUAAAACAUCCAAAAGACGCCACUUUUCUUGUGAGGAAGCUAGCAAUGAGAGAAUAUGGUACUACGAUACCCAAAGAGAGGAUCAAAACUGCACUAAAACACAACGAAAACACAUUUUAAUCGGUUAUUAGAUGAUAAACGAUCAAGACACCAUUUUAAUCGGACUAAAACAAAGUUUAAACGGUUGAAAUAAAAAAAAAAUACACCUGCAAUGCAAUACCACGAGAGAGAGAAAAGGAGAGGAGGAAGAACAUUGUGCGUGUAACUGCGAGAGACAGAAAAGGAGAGGAGGAAGAAGAUGAUGUGUGAGAAACUGCGAGUUCGCGGUUUAUUUAAGUUGAAUUUAUGCGUCGGUCAUCGUACCAACCGACGUCUAUAGACGUAAGCUACAUCACUAAUCUGAUGUCCAAGAGACUUUUCACAUGUCUCUUUCAAGCUAAUUAGACGUCAGAUGCAGGGGGAGUUGACGUCUAAAGCACUGAACAAAGUGACUUUUCAGUAACCAGCCAAUCCAGUAGACGACGGGGGCCUGGUGGGCCGACGUCUAUGUACGUCGAUCCUGAACAAAGGGACGUCUAUUUUCCUGCAGGGUAGGUGAAUCGCAUUAAUUGCAGUCAUAUAGACGUUGGUCCUGUACCAAGUGACAUCUACGUGCCUGCGAGGUAGGUGAAUCGCAUUAAUUGCAACAAGAUAAACGUCUAGCCCCCCGUAACCGGCGUCUAUAUAUUUGAAAUAGACUGACUUCUCACCUACCUGUCACGCCCAUGGAUGUCUGUUUUGGGUUAAACAAAUGUCUACACUAUCAUAGACAUUGGUUUGCAGGUCGAUUGACGUCUAUAUGGCCAACUUAUAUACGAAAAUGCCAUUUGUCAGUAAUAUACGUCUCGCCACUUCAUAACCGACGUCUAAGGGGUGACGUUAAACAACGAUUUUGCACUAAUGAAUGCGACUUUACGAAAGGUUUAACAUUGAGCACCACCUAUGAGUGCCAAUUUGUUUGUUAGAUCUGUUUUGUUUUUUUGUUGUUUGAGAUAGAUAUAUGAUGGAAUUGAUUUGUGUUUAUCAUAUUGUUUAGGUUUAAUCAUACAAUAGGUCCCUAUUUCUGGUGACUUUUCUCAAAUUGGUCCAUUACUUAUUUUUUGUCUCAAUGGGUUCCCUAUUUGUGAAAAAUUGAUGUAAUUAGAUCCUUGCCAUUAAAUGACAAACUUAGGACGUGGUAAUUGUAUCACACUCUAAGCCAAUCAGAGGCUACCACGUCAUCAUCAUCAUCUUCAUCUGCAUCUUUUCAAUCAGAAACCAAUCUUUGCAUGAGCUUGUCGUCGACCAACGUUAACCACCACUGAAACCCUCCUCUAGACCAAAUUGUGUCAGAUCUUCCUUUCCAUCGCCAUCCUGUUAGACUUGAGGAAAUUGUGGAAGUUAGGAAAGGAAGUGGUUAUGAGACUUGAUAAUUAUUGUUGGUAAUUGGUAUGUAAUGCUUAAGUGUUUCUUUUAUGAUUAUAAUUGCUAUGUUUAUUAAUUAAUGUUAUUGUUGAUUAAGUGGAACACGUGUUUGAUAUGUUUUCAUUUUAAUUAUGUGUGUGCGUGUGUGCGAUACUACCAAUAUGAGGUGUUGACUUGUUGAUAGAAGGGUGGUUUAGGAUUGAAUAAGUGUGUGGGUUCAAUUCUAGAAAAAAGAAAAGAGUUAAGGAAAACUUUUGUUUUAAUUGAAUUUUAGGCCUAAGGAUAAAAAUGUAUUUUUUGCCUUCAUUAAUUGGUGUAGAAAUUAAUAUAAGGAGAUCUAGAAAGUAAAAGAAUAAAAAUAAAAUCUGAAUAAUAAGAGAGAGAUUACGUGGAUUUUAGAAAUAUUUGGUGGUUGGUGGUAUUUAAAAUACACUUAAGAAAGAAUAAGAGAAAAAAAUAUUAGUGUUUUUAGAGAUAAACUGAGAUACUUUAUUAAAACCAAAAAGAUAUAGAUAGAAUAGAAGAAGAUAAAAAGGAAAAGAGUAAAAGCGAUCCGUAUAUUGCUACCCUAAUUUAAAAAAAAAAACGAAAUUGAGAGAGAUUAGAGAGAGAAAAAAUGUUUUCUAGAAAAAAAGGGAAAGAGUUACAGAAAACCUUAAUGCAAAGGAGGAUUUGUGGUGUUUUUGAAGUAAGAUAAAACCCUAGUAUGGACCAAGAUAUGUAGAAGCUUACCUUUGUUGCUUGUUUGUUAUAUGUUAUAUAUUUUGGAUUUAUUCAGUGUUUAACUUGAAGAGUGAAAUGUAUAUCAUAGUAAUUCCUAGGUUAGAUAACUAAGAUUGUUGUUAUUGAUUUAGUUUUAAGUUGAUAAAGUAUUCGUGAAGGAUUUUUUUUUUUGUUUCAAGUGUAAUUUUAGUAUGUGGAUUAAUGAUUGAUGUUGAAUGUUAAGUUUGACUACAUUUAGAAAAUUUAAAUUAGUUGGAUUUAUUUUUUUGCUUUUAAAUUGAUGUGAUUUUGGUUUAAAUUGAUGUUUUUAAAUUUUGAUUCCUGUGGUAAAAUAUGUCAUCAUGGAUUUCAAUGAAGUUGAUGAAUGAGAAGGUAGUAUUUGACCUUCGUGAGAUAUAUGACAUUUGUGGAACCAUUUCUUGAUCAACCCAUCCAUUCACGUUAUUCUCCCGUUGAGUAGAAUUUACUCUCUUUCACUUUUUUGUAUGUAGCAUUUUAUCAUUGUAAAGAUUAUAAUGCCUCUAAUGAUCUUGAGUAAAUUAUUAUUUUUUUAUAGACUCAUUUUUACUUUGUCAAACUUAUAUUUCCUUUUUCACACUAAAAUAGUUUAAUCAAAUAAAAAAAAUUUAAUAUAAUUUAUGUUUAACUAAGUUUCACAUUCUUUAUAAAUUUAGAAGUUUUUAAUGAAUUCCUAUUAAUUUUUUUAUAAAAUACUAAAAAAAUUUAUAUUUUUUAAUUGAGUAUUUAUUUAUCAUUUAAUUUAAUUUUAUUAAUUGGGUGAUGUGAUCAUUAUAUUGUCUCAUCAUUUUGUUUCUUAAGAAAACAAUAUUGUGAUGUAAAACGACAAAUAACUUAAUAACAAUGAAUAGUGGUCGUAGGUGGUAACAAAAAAACGACGACGUUAUCCAACAUAUUUUUAAUUGAAACAAUAAAAUCAUAUAUCAUUUUAAGUUAACUAGAAAAUCAUGCAUAUUUUAACAUAUAAAAAUAAAUAAGCAAUAAAAUAUAAAAUUAAAAAAAGCACAUGUCUAAUAUAAUAAGAAAGCAGGAGACAAUGUAUGCGUGAUUUGAAAGUUUUGAAUAGUGUGAAUCUAGAGAGUCCUGUUUUUGUUCUAUAAAUACACAACACAGGCUCAUCCUUAUGCAUCAUCAAUAUCCAUCACUGUAAGACCUUACAGCCAUGGCUUCCUCCAAAUUCUCCAUUAUCCUCUCUCUCUCCGUAGCCCUCUUCCUGCUGCUUCUCACCCAAGCAAACUCAAUCAACGAAGUCUCCUUCAACAUCCAGUCCUUCGACUCAUCCAACCUUAUCCUCGAAGGUGACGCCACCGUCUCAUCCGCCGGCCGCUUACGAUUAACCAAAGUUAAAGGCAACAAACCCCAGCCGUCAUCUCUUGGCCGCGCCUUCUACUCCACCCCCAUUCAAAUCUGGAACAGCACCAGCGGCAGCGUCGCCAGCUUCGCCACUUCCUUCACUUUCAACAUCUUCGCUCCCAACAAAUCAAGCGCCGCCGAUGGGCUUGCAUUUGCCCUCGUACCCGUCGGCUCUGAGCCCAAAACCAACGACGGUUAUCUGGGUCUUUUCGACAACGCCACCUACGACAGCUCCUACCAGACUGUGGCUGUGGAGUUCGACACCUACUCGAACCCUAGUUGGGACCCGGAACCCCGUCACAUUGGCAUUGACGUGAACUCCAUCGAGUCUAUCAGAUGGGCGUCGUGGGGUUUGGCGAACGGGCAAAACGCGGAGAUUCUGAUCACGUACGACGCCUCGACGCAGCUCUUGGUGGCCUCUCUGGUUCACCCUUCUCGGAGAACGAGCUACAUCGUGUCUGAGAGAGUGGACCUGAAGAGCGUUCUUCCGGAGUGGGUGAGCAUUGGGUUCUCUGGCACCACAGGGUUGCUUGCCGGCUCAACCCAAAUCAACGACGUGCUCUCUUGGUCUUUUGCUUCCAAGCUUUCAGAUGGCAUCAGCACUGGAGGUAUAGAUCUCGCCAAAUUCGUCCUCAACAAGUUCAUCUAGACUUCAUCGUGUGCUUCACUGUGACAGUAAAACAUUGCAUGCAUGACACUCUUCCUGGUCGUCGUUCUUUGUUCCUAAUAACUGUUUUUCUGUCACAGAAGUUAAUAAUAUCAUACCUUUUACUCUAC
rnacentral:lncRNA from 1 species